UACGGAGGGUGCGAGCGUUGUCCGGAAUCAUUGGGCGUAAAGGGCGCGUAGGUGGCGGGACAAGCGUGCGGUGAAAGCCUGGGGCUCAACCCCGGGUCGGCCGUGCGAACUGUUUUGCUUGAGCACUGUAGGGGCAGGCGGAAUUCCGGGUGUAGCGGUGGAAUGCGUAGAGAUCCGGAAGAACACCGGUGGCGAAGGCGGCCUGCUGGGCAGUAGCUGACACUGAGGCGCGACAGCGUGGGGAGCAAACAGG
rnacentral:rRNA from 1 species